ACUAUGCCACACAUGUGCAGUUUGAACACACAGAGAAGGCUGCAGUGGGGGGUUUGAGCCAGACAGGCACAGCAACCACAGCUACAGGGGCCUGAGGAGGCCACACCGGUGUCUCCCCAAAGCCAUUGUAGAGCUGGGGAAAGACCAAAGCUUCUCCCAGUGGGAACCAGAGUGGUCCCUGCUGGUUGCAGCCAGUGCUUGUUCUCAGGGCCAGGCCUAGCUCGUCAUUCCAUACUCAGUGUUUUCCAAAGUGGGAAAAUGCACCUUCUGGAGCAAACCAUCAACUCCUAUCCACAAACCAAGCCCCGGUCCAGGGGAAGGGACACAGGGAUGGAAAGCUGGGAUGGGGGCGCUGGCCUCCUUCCGGGGUGAGACCUGGCAGAGGGCCAGGGUGGCUCACAGAGAUACUGUUUGGGGGAAAUGAGUAUGUUAGACUUAGAUGGCCUCUGCUGUGUCUGGUUGUUAAAAAUCUCCUUUUGCAUUUGAUUCUUUCUUUCUUUCUCCUUUUUAACUCCUUCUCCUUACCUGCCCCAUUCUUUCCAUGAUUCUUGAUCCACAGGGUGACAAGAAUCAGCUAAUUCAGCGGGGCCGUCCGGACUGAUCCCCUGUCUCUGAGGCAGCAGCUGCUCCAUGAUCGGGAGACGGCUGCUACCACGGAUGCAACCUUCAUUUGGCACACGCCAGGCUCUUGAGGCCGCGCAUCCAUCUUGGAGGGGCCCCGUGGGUACUCUGAAAGUCUCCUGAAGCCUUGCAGUCUUUCUAAGGUGAGAUGGUGGAGGAUGAGCAAGAAAGGAGCAAUCCGAGUGGUAAAAUAAUGUUUUAUUCCAUGGAUGAACAGACGCUACCAUGCCACAUCCCCACGUCCCUCCGACCAGGUGUUGUGGCCAGAGCUGGCUUCCCCUUCCAGACCGAGCUGGCUUUGUAGUCGUUCAGGCCCAUUGAAAUAGCAAACGCACAGUCACGUAGCACUCGGAUCGGUCCUUUUAUCAGCACAUUGGUCCUUUCACAAAUGGUGGUGACUCACCUUUAAAACACCCGGUGACAGAGACCCUCCAAUCACCCUAACUAUAACGGACGUUCAGAGCUUGUGUGGAUAAACCCAAGACCCCAAACGCCAAAAUGCAACAGGGAUGCAUCUCCUCUGCUGACAGGAUGCCAAGGACACCCCUGCAGGGCUGGGAGCUGGAGAAGUCAGUCCUGACAUUCAGCUUGUCCACAAGCUCAAAAGGAAAUGACAGUAAUGGAUAUAUUUCAAACUAGCACUUCUAGAGUCCAGAUCAGCCAGAGUGUCAGCAUGCAGGCUCAACACGGGGUUAGCACUGGCGGGAGGAGGUUGGGUUGACUGCACAGAGGCCUGACACACACUGCUUCCUUUAUAUACAACAGAAUGAAAUAUACACUGGGAACACCGGCCGCACAUUUGGUGGGAGUGUAUCUUACAAGGCUAACAUAGCACUUCAUCAACCUCCUGCUCAUGGCAGGAAGGUCACGGAGCCUCCCCCAAUGAUGGGAGAGGGAAGCGCGCAGGCCCACAGAACCCUCAGGACUCCCGUGGCCCGAGCACACACAGCAGACCUGGGGGUGGAGUUGACCCUUCGUCUUUUUUCUGUUUUGUUUUGUUUUUUUUUUAACCAAAUGUCAUGGGAAAAAGCUUGAUACCGUACCAAGGAGGACAAGGAUGGUUGUAAGGACGGAUGUAAAUAGACAGUGCACAUCUACAGCCAAGCCCUAGCACAGCUCAGUGGGAGACAGGUUUUAUUUACGUAUUUCUUUUAAUGGGUACUAUUGGCUGUCCUCCCCCUCAGUGUUUAGGAGCGUCUCCAAGACCUCUGAAGACAGCCUUGAGGAGGGAGCAGUUACUUCUGAUCUGCUUCUUCAUCCAAACAAGCGCAAAGUCUACACGUGGACUGGAGAAAGGAGAGUGAAACAAAGCCAAACCC